GCGCCUUGUUAUGAUUAUAUCGUGUAAGAGGUUUAAAAUUUCUGUGAAACUUGUUUUUAUUUAUGCAGGCACGUAUGUUUAGUUGUGUUAGUGUGUGUUGAUGGAUGCAGACACAUAAUAUUGUCUAGGGCACCAACAUUUUAGAGACGGCUCUGCGUCACUCAGAAAACUCUGCUGUCGGUUCCUCAGUGUUUUCAGUAAGGAGUCCAAGUCACAAAGCAAAGAUGACUCCAGACUAAUCCCCAAGAUUAGGGGUUAGGGUCUGAAACACAAAAGAAGAGAUUAAGGCGAAGUCUGAAGAGUUCACUCUGUGACCGAGGUGUAUUCCAUUAAAGCGUGUGUCCAAAGAGCGCAAAAAUGUCCACGUGACGUCACGAUUGCUUUGGUUGUCUGAUUCAACAAUUUUAAAAAAGUCUCUCCAGAAUCUCGCACUUUUGCGUAACUUUGUGGCAACUUCAACCGACGUCACAGCGACCUGCGUCGUUACGUCACCCUCUGUUUCCAAUCAUUUCCUGUUUGUGACUUCGCUCACGUGCAAAGUUCUGGCCAUGUCUGCUUUAAAGCGUGGCAUUCUCUCAAUAGAAAUGCAUACAGAGACCGUGCAAUGCAGUUCCAGAAUAUUCUACCUAAAAGAAGAAAUUGUGCAGUGUCGUCUGACAUCUCUCCUCUGGUGAACACAGCCGGAGAAAUGAAGGAAACCGGGUGCAUAAAUAAGCUCCACAGACGCUGUCUCAUCCCUAACUAUUGCACAAGAGUGUCCGUCCGCCCUAAUGGCCUUCUAAAAACAAUAACAAGUACAGAUUGGUUCCAUUCACCGCUUAUUUGAGCAGAGAGAAACACAGGAUCCUAGGAGUGCAAAAGAUUCCUGGCUUAAAAGCAUGCACUUCCAACUUCCUCCACUCCCUUUCCUCAUCCUCCUGGUUGCCAAGGUAGCCGUGAUAUGCAGUGCCGUGUCAACCACCCUCCAUGGCUUCCGAGGCUGUGCAGUGCGGGAGUUCUCCUUUGUGGCCCAGAAACCUGGCUGCAAGGGGCUACGCAUCACAACAGAGGCCUGUUGGGGGCGCUGCCACACUUGGGAGGUAUAAUUACUGCACUCAAAGACAGCACUUUGUGACUGUUUUUAAAUCUUUCAAAGAUAAUUGUAACAAAAACAGAAAAUUGACAAAUAAAUAGACUUGCUAAAUACGAAUUAGACUUAAUAGCAAAUUAUUUAUUAUAAACAGUAAAAAAGAAAGAAAUUCUCAAAUGUAUUCAUAGUAAUGUGUGUCAAUAGCCAAAACGUUAAAAAAGCCACUCACCAAAUGUAAAAAUGAGCCUUGAAAACAUUAGCCUAGCACAUUGUCAAAAUAGAAUAUAGUUAAAAUAUGUUA